rnacentral:rRNA from 1 species
UACGGGGGGGGCAAGCGUUGUUCGGAAUUACUGGGCGUAAAGGGCGCGUAGGCGGCCUGAUAAGUCGGGGGUGAAAUCCUGCGGCUUAACCGCAGGGCUGCCUUCUAAACUGUCAGGCUAGAGCACAGUAGAGGCAGGUGGAAUUCCCGGUGUAGCGGUGGAAUGCGUAGAGAUCGGGAAGAACAUCAGUGGCGAAGGCGGCCUGCUGGGCUGUUGCUGACGCUGAGGCGCGACAGCGUGGGGAGCAAACAGG